rnacentral:rRNA from 1 species
AACGAACGCUGGCGGCAGGCUUAACACAUGCAAGUCGAACGGGUGUAGCAAUACAUCAGUGGCAGACGGGUGAGUAACACGUGGGAACCUUCCUCGGGGUACGGAACAACUCAGGGAAACUUGAGCUAAUACCGUAUACGUCCGUGAGGAGAAAGAUUUAUCGCCCUGAGACGGGCCCGCGUCGGAUUAGCUAGUUGGUGGGGUAACGGCCUACCAAGGCGACGAUCCGUAGCUGAUCUUAGAGGAUGAUCAGCCACACUGGGACUGAGACACGGCCCAGACUCCUACUGGGGGCAGCAGUGGGGAAUCUUGGACAAUGGGCGCAAGCCUGAUCCAGCCAUGCCGCGUGAGUGAAGAAGGUCUUCGGAUUGUAAAGCUCUUUUGCCAGGGACGAUAAUGACGGUACCUGGAGAAUAAGCCCCGGCAAACUUCGUGCCAGCAGCCGCCGUAAAAC